rnacentral:rRNA from 1 species
GUCCACGCUGUAAACGAUGGGCACUAGGUGUCGCGGGUAUUGACCCCUGCGGUGCCGCAGCUAACGCAUUAAGUGCCCCGCCUGGGGACUACGGCCGCAAGGUUAAAACUCAAAGGAAUUGACGGGGGCCCCGCACAAGCGGUGGAGCAUGUGGUUCAAUUCGACGCAACGCGAAGAACCUUACCCGGGCUAGACAACAGAGGACAGCCCUAGAAAUAGGGUUUUCCCUUCGGGGACCUCUGGUUCAGGUGCUGCAUGGCUGUCGU